GUUUAUUCACUCCACAUGUUUUUAUCUUCCUGGUGCGCCGGUGGUGCUACGAGUCAACUCUGAUUGACUUUGUUUUUAUUCAGGCCAAGAGGGAGAAAUAUUGAGUGCACACAGAUGAUGUAAACAUACAAAGAGGAAGCAGUGCGCUCUACAGAAAGUUUACUAGUCUCGUCGAUGCAAGAAUACGUUCUAUGAAGACUCGGUGUUUUGAUCAUCAAGAGAAGAGGUCAGUUUCUGCUAAAACUUGAAAUUACCUUGAAAAUUCUCAGCUGAGUGAAGCGUACUUCCCUACCUGUGCACGGCUAAUCACAGCUGAUGGAAAUACCUCCGCAGGACUUCAAAAUCUUAGUGAUCAAAAGAAAGAGCAAAAGACUGAAACACAGAAAGAACUUUAAACUUUUAAGUGAAUGCAUGAUAAUACCAUUAAAAGUUGGCCUCCGUUCCCGUGCUUAAGUUCUGUCUGUGAGUUAUUGUGAAAGUUAUUGCCCAGACAUUUCCCUCCCUCGAAGCACGAGUAGCGUUAGCAGUGUAGCGUACUAAGAGCUUCUCCCACUUGAGAAUAGCAUCUCGGGCUGAGAUAAAUAAUCACAGCCAGAAAAUAUGAGUCUUUCUUUAAGCAUCAAACAAAAACCUAAAAAAUCACAAAAAUUCAGAUGCUGCUGGUAGGCGUCAGCAGGGUUGUCUGCCAAAGGCACAAGUAACAGGGUGAAGCGAUGUGUUAGAUGUUAAAUCAGAAUUGUUCAGAGGCAUGAGCAUGCCGCUUGCCUUUGAUAAUUCUGUAAGACUUAUUAGCCACAAUGUUAAUAUUAACUCUCUGUUGAACAGGAUCCUAAUACACAUCAGGCACUUGUUUCAUGAAGAUAUGUUGUAUUCAUUUACAGGGUUAAACUAGUAUUAUUUUACUCUUGGACUAGCCUAAUACAAGUUAGACACUUUAAGUAAUUUAAGCCUAAAAAGGUUGAGCUACAAGAUACUAUGUUUCUAUGGUAACAAUCAGUGACACUUGUUGACUUGAAACCAACUGACCAAAAUAAAAUGAUAACAUGGCUCAUAAUGUAUGUUUUGCUGUUGUCCUGAUUUCCUUUGCAUUUUGUAACAGGUUUGUACACCUUUUUUGAACAUGUCAUUUGCUCCUGAAAAAAAAAUAACAAAAAUGCAAAAUCAAAUUUUAGACCAAACAACUAAUCGAUUAAUUGACAAUGAAAAUAAUCAUUAGUUUCAGCCCUAAACUGUAGCAUUAAUACUAUUAACUGAAGUAAUUUUUUUUCCAAUUUUCUUUUUAAAAGUGUCCUUUUAACUGGUGACAGCUUUGUUUGUUUUCUGUCGGAACGGGUAGAGCUGAGCAGCUAGGAUUGGUUGCUUGCCCGGUCAUAGUUUAAAAAGUCUUAAAUCAAGUUUCCAUCCAAAUUUAGUGUACAUUUCAACAGGAUUUCUCGAAAAUCUGCAAAAUCAAUGCGCAUUUCCAUAAGAUGCUUCAUGUGUUUCCAUUGCACUCUGUUGCAUUUUGUUUUUAUAAAUACACAAACUUUUCCAUCUCAGCAAACUAUAAAAACUUUCUUGUGAUAUUUCGACUUUCAGUUUUUCAUCAUCACUUCAACAGUGUUUCCAUUCAGGGCUUUUUAUGCACAAAUAGAAAAUGCUCAUAAAAACAGGUCACUCAUUCACUAUUCUCUACAUAAUGAACACUUAAUACUCUAUAGUGGGCAAUAAAUUUAGAUUUUAAACACUUUUCACCCUCACUGACAGGUGUAAUACUGCGUAACAGUCAUUUACAUUUGCAUUGUAGGAUUUUUUUGUGUUCAUGGACACUACUUUUUUUGUUCCAUUUUGGGAAUUUUUGAUUUGCUGCAUCACUUUCACACUUCAAUCAAAUAAAAGUAAAAGUAAAUAUACAACAAUACUCUAGGUAGAAAAGAGUCUUAUUUAAAGAAAUUAAUCAUUUAAAACAUGUUGGCAGGUCCUUUGUGGAAGAUAUCUGACGCUUGUUUCCCACAUCUAACAAGACUUGUGAGCCAAUAGUAUAACAACGUUGGUAUCACACGGUAUCUCUCGGUCGUCGGAAAAAAAUGAUAAAUGGCUGAGAUUUUCGGUAACUGCCUGGCAACAACUUGUUUUGAAGUGAAAGCAAUGGAACGGGGGAGGAAGAAUGCGACAUCUAGUUGCUGAAUGUUAUCAAUAGCAUCUUUAAAAGAGAGAGAGAGAGAGAGAGAAAGAGAGAGAGAGAGAGAGAGAGAGAGAGAGAAUGUACAAUCUGGCUGUAAAUUGGGUAAAUACAUCUGAGUGCUCUCGACAAGGUUAAUGGAGAGAGGAGGCCUUAGUGAACACCGGUCUAGACACGCCACACAGUAUUAAGUGGGAAUAGCUGUGGCAGUGUAUCUGGCUAAGUACUUUGGAAGUGCGAAUGGGACCCUAAUAAAGCGAAUGAUCCCCCCUGUUUUGACAAAGAGGCCCAGGAGGGACGCUGAAAACGACGUUUGAGAUUCCAAGCACUGACAAACACCCAUUUGUGGCCCUUCUAUCCCCCCUCAAAUCCCACGGAAGCUUUUCCCUGCGCGCAAGACUGUCGGAUGUGGGCAAAGCCCAACUGCCAAUUUGCAGAGGAUGUGCCGUGUUUGCUAAUGCGAAGCAGAGGCUAAAAAUGAGACCACACAAACUCUGGAGGAUGGACUGACUGAUCUGCUUUCUGGCACAAACACUGAC